rnacentral:rRNA from 1 species
UACGUAGGGUCCGAGCGUUGUCCGGAAUUAUUGGGCGUAAAGGGCUCGUAGGCGGUCUGUUGCGUCGGGAGUGAAAACUUACAGCUUAACUGUGAGCGUGCUUCCGAUACGGGCAGACUUGAGGUAUUCAGGGGAGAACGGAAUUCCUGGUGUAGCGGUGAAAUGCGCAGAUAUCAGGAGGAACACCGGUGGCGAAGCGGUUCUCUGGGAAUAUCCUGACGCUGAGGAGCGAAAGUGUGGGAGCGAACAGG